GAAAAGGAUAUGGUUUGCAUAUUAUUGUUUUUAGUGGUGGAACCCAUUUUUUUAUUUUAGUUGUUUAGUGUAUAAUAUCCUAUUAUUCUUUGGUAACUUGUAUUUACUUUUUUAUGAACGGGAGUAUAAGGUCAUUUCACAUAUAACGAAGAAAAUAAAUGAACUUUAAUGAUAGGGACCGUCAUAGUAAUAAGUUGCAACCCAUAAGGAGCAUUUUUGUAAUAUGUGUAAAGCGGUGAUAGAUUCAGGAUUUUUCGUCAGAAGGUGCUUUGUUAGGUUAAUAGCGUGCGAGUGUUGAUUAAGAGCAUUCACAUCCAGUCCCCUAAAAUUAUACAUACAUUCACUAAAAAACAAUUCCUAUAUCAAUAUAUUUCCACUAAAAACAAAUAUUUUUUCUCUCUCCUUUUCAAUUAAAUAAUAUUUUUAUACCUUUAUCAUUACAUUUUUCUCUCUCCUUCACUCACAACCACUUUCAAUAUAUAUUAAAUUAAAAAAUUAUAGUGGGUGAACAGUGUCCCCCAAAUAUACAGAUGAACAGUAACAUUUUCUCUCUCCUCCACUGACAACCAUUUUUUAUACUCUUUAUAUUUUAAAAACCCCACACUCACAAUUUAGUUCUUUGGAUGUGAAUGCUCUAAUAGUGCGAAAGAAUUAACAAUUAGAUAUCCGAGUAUAACAUAUUUGGCUUCUGAAUGCUCUACUAGUUGCAAUUGAUUGAUGUAUUGUGGGGGCCUUAAGAGUGCCUGUUAG
rnacentral:lncRNA from 1 species